rnacentral:rRNA from 1 species
UGCGUAGGCGGUUUGGUAAGUCUUAUGCGAAAUCUACAGGCUCAACUUGUAGUCUGCAUGAGAAACUGCCGGGCUUGAGUAUGGGAGAGGUGAGUGGAAUUCCUGGUGUAGCGGUGAAAUGCGUAGAUAUCAGGAGGAACACCUGUGGCGAAAGCGGCUCACUGGACCAUAACUGACGCUGAUGCACGAAAGCUAGGGGAGCAAACAGGAUUAGAUACCCUGGUAGUCCUAGCCCUAAACGAUGACUGCUUGGUGUGACGGGUACCCAAUCCCGCCGUGCCGUAGCUAACGCGUUAAGCAGUCCGCCUGGGGAGUACGGUCGCAAGGCUGAA